GACUCAUGGGAUAUGCUGCUUUACUGUGAUCUGCCAGUCAGGCAGAGACUAAACAUCAUGUCCAGCUGCCACAGUAGCUUUAUGCUGUUCAGCUCAGAAGUGCAGCACUACGGACUGUAUUCAAAAUAGGAACUUGCAAAGUCCACACUAUUAAGAAAGCCACAGAGACAGGCUCUUUCAUUUCAUCCACCCUUGGUUUCUGAAGCAAGACUGUUUGGAUUGUAAUGGCACAUUCUUCUUAGACAUGAUUUUGAAUCUGAAUGGUCAGAUACUGCUACAAGCCCAAAAUUAAGGUUUUUUUUUUUUACCACAAUGUGGUAAAAUACAAUAGUACGUUGUUUUGUUUUUUUGUUACUACUAUGUUCUGAAUGGUACUGCUCAUU